rnacentral:rRNA from 1 species
GACGAACGCUGGCGGCGUGCUUAACACAUGCAAGUCGAACGGAGAUUAUUAAUGAAGCUUGCGAUUUAAUAAUCUUAGUGGCGGACGGGUGAGUAACGCGUGGGCAACCUACCCAUAAGAGGGGGAUAACAGUUGGAAACGACUGCUAAUACCGCAUAACCUAUUGAGGUUGCAUGACCUUAAUAGCAAAGGUGGCGAUUUUACAUUGCUAUCACUUAUGGAUGGGCCCGCGUCUGAUUAGCUAGUUGGUGGGGUAGUGGCCUACCAAGGCAACGAUCAGUAGCCGGCCUGAGAGGGUGGACGGCCACACUGGGACUGAGACACGGCCCAGACUCCUACGGGAGGCAGCAGUGGGGAAUAUUGCGCAAUGGGGGCAACCCUGACGCAGCGACGCCGCGUGAGCGAUGAAGGCCUUCGGGUCGUAAAGCUCUGUUGUAAGGGACGAAUGUUCCUAUGGCAAAUAGCCAUAGGGAGUGACGGUACCUUACCAGCAAGCCCCGGCUAACUACGUGCCAGCAGCCGCGGUAAGACGUAGGGGGCGAGCGUUGUCCGGAAUUACUGGGCGUAAAGAGCGCGUA